rnacentral:tRNA from 1 species
GGGGAUAUAGCUCAGUUGGUAGAGUGCUUGCCUUGCAUGCACAAGGCCCUGGGUUCAAUCCCCAGGACUACCC